rnacentral:misc_RNA from 1 species
GUCUUAGUAUCGGCAAAACUGGUGUACUCAACCAAAGUAGUAUCAUACGGGCGCAAAAGUGCGGUCGCAUUUUCAAUCGCGGUGUGUAAUUCGGACUCAUCGGUUUUAUCAGAAUCAAUACUCAACAGCACGUUUUUUCGCCUGACGAAUUUGAACUGAGGGGCCGAGUUGUGGAACCCGGUGACCUGGAGUAUGUCACCAACUCGGUAACGGCAUAGUCCGGCGUAAGUUGUGAUCACGAG